UAGGGAAUCUUCCGCAAUGGACGCAAGUCUGACGGAGCAACGCCGCGUGAGUGAAGAAGGAUUUCGGUUCGUAAAACUCUGUUGUUAGAGAAGAACAGCGCAUAGAGUAACUGUUAUGCGUGUGACGGUAUCUAACCAGAAAGCCACGGCUAACUACGUGCCAGCAGCCGCGGUAAUACGUAGGUGGCAAGCGUUGUCCGGAUUUAUUGGGCGUAAAGCGAGCGCAGGCGGUCAAUUAAGUCUGAUGUGAAAGCCCCCGGCUCAACCGGGGGGGGUCAUUGGAGACUGGUUGCCUUGGGUGCAGAAGAGGAGAGUGGAAUUCCAUGUGUAGCGGUGAAAUGCGUAGAUAUAUGGAGGAACACCAGUGGCGAAGGCGACUCUCUGGUCUGUAACUGACACUGAGGCUCGAAAGCGUGGGUAGCAAACAGG
rnacentral:rRNA from 1 species